rnacentral:rRNA from 1 species
GCGAGUGAAGCGGCAACAGCUCAAAUUUGAAAUCUGGCUUCGGCCCGAGUUGUAAUUUGCAGAGGAUGUAUUUGGCGCGGUGCCUUCCGAGUUCCCUGGAACGGGACGCCAUAGAGGGUGAGAGCCCCGUCUGGUUGGACAGCAAGCCUAUGUAAUACUCCUUCGACGAGUCGAGUAGUUUGGGAAUGCUGCUCUAAAUGGGAGGUAAAUCUCUUCUAAAGCUAAAUACCGGCCAGAGACCGAUAGCGCACAAGUAGAGUGAUCGAAAGAUGAAAAGCACCUUGAAAAGGGGGUUAAACAGUACGUGAAAUUGUUGAAAGGGAAGCGUUUAUGACCAGACUUGUGCCGUGUGGCUCAUCCGGGGUUCUCCCCGGUGCACUCCAUACGGUUCAGGCCAACAUCGGUUCUCGUUGGGGGAUAAGAACAGUAGGAACGUGGCCCUCUUCGGAGGGUGUUAUAGCCUAUUGUACGAUACCUUGAUGGGGACCGAGGACCGCGCUUCGGCUAGGAUGUUGGCGUAAUGGUCAUUAGCGACCCGUCUUGAAACACGGACCAAGGAGUCGUCCAUUAGAGCGAGCGUUUGGGUGUAAAACCCGCACGCGUAAUGAAAGUGAAAUUAGGUGAGAGCUUCGGCGCAUCAUCGACCGAUCCUGAAGUUUACGGAUGGAUUUGAGUAAGAGUUUUAACGGACGGACCCGAAAGACAGUGAACUAUGCUUGAAUAGGGUGAAGCCAGAGGAAACUCUGGUGGAGGCUCGCAGCGGUUCUGACGUGCAAAUCGAUCGUCAAAUUUGAGCAUGGGGGCGAAAGACUAAUCGAA